rnacentral:rRNA from 1 species
AGCAGCCGCGGUAAUUCCAGCUCCAAUAGCGUAUAUUAAAGUUGUUGCAGUUAAAAAGCUCGUAGUUGAAUUUCGGGGUUAGUAAGUUGGUCACGCCUUUGGUAUGUACUGGCUUUACUGAUUCCUCCUUCUUGACGAACCGUGAUGUCAUUAAUUUGGUGUUGCGGGAAAUCAGGACUGUUACUUUGAAAAAAUUAGAGUGUUUAAAGCAGGCUAACGCUUGAAUACAUUAGCAUGGAAUAAUGAAAUAGGACGUUAAUCCUAUUUUGUUGGUUUCUAGGAUCGACGUAAUGAUUAAUAGGGAUAGUUGGGGACAUUAGUAUUCAAUUGUCAGAGGUGAAAUUCUUGGAUUUAUUGAAGACUAACUNCUGCGAAAGCAUUUGCCAAGGAUGUUUUCAUUAAUCAAGAACGAAAGUUAGGGGAUCGAAGACGAUCAGAUACCGUCGUAGUCUUAACCAUAAACUAUGCCGACUAGGGAUCGGAUGAUGUUAAUUCUUUAAUGACUCA